rnacentral:lncRNA from 1 species
AAAAAUGGGGGAACUUCUGUAAAGAUCUGGAGAAAUUUCACUUUAAAGUAUAGCACAAUCAAUUUAGAAAAGCCUAUAUUGGUAAAAACUGCCUAGUGUCAUUUAUCCUUACCUAGGAUAUUUAAUUUUUAAAUACAUCUUCAGAUUCAGUGUGAAACUACUGGUUUCCAGAGAGCGAAACAAUGUGAAGGCUUAUGUUCUCAAUAGUUUUCCUUAAAUUACAUGUCCACCUUCCCCCAACCCUUUUAAUCUUUUUCUUUUAUUCUUCUCUCUCUCCCAAACUAUAUUUUAUCAUCUUAUAGGGACAGAAGGAUCAGAUCAGUAAAGUAGCUUUUUUAAAAAAAGGUUAAAGUAGAAGUUUCAAGACUUAUUCUGGUGGUAAUAUCAAAUGAAUUUUAUAAUUGUGGUGAUUUCUCUUUCACAGUUCCUGUCUUUAUUGAAAUCCUGGAAUGAAUAUCACAGGAGCAAAGCCAACCAGGACUGACGUGAUUUCCCCACCAGUGAUGCUUGACUGGCUGGGAAAAGCAGCACCUCCAGCACCUGCUGUGAGAGAAAAGGAGCUUGCAAAGUCCUGCAGCCAGAACUGCCACCAAGGUCAGGAAUUGUGCAUUUUCUCAGUUUGGACGUUGGCAGAGGGAUCAUCUAUCACCUGCCUAGCACGGGCCCACAUUUGUUCUGAUGAUGCCCUGAGAAGAGGGAGCUGUUGGAGAGAUUUAAAGGUCCUUUUUCUGAGCUGGCCAAUGUAAACUCUGAGAGCCACAGAUUUUCUUCUUGCCUGUCAAUAGCUACACUGAAAGCUGCAGGACUAAACUGUGUACAGAAAGCAACCCUGGCCAUUUCCUCUGAAAGGGUUAUUGGCACAAUUAAUUACAAAGGUUAUUAGGGCUUAUAAAUAUGUAACAAAAUGUUUCAGGUGCCAUUUUUCGUGAAAGCUGGACUUUGUUCUUGGCUCUAAAAUCUAAAAUAAAGCUAAAACUGCUUUAUUGUCCA